rnacentral:rRNA from 1 species
AUUGAACGCUGGCGGCAGGCUUAACACAUGCAAGUCGAGCGAGCGGCGGACGGGUGAGUAAUGUCUGGGAAACUGCCUGAUGGAGGGGGAUAACUACUGGAACCGGUAGCUAAUCCCGCAUACCAUCAGAGGUGCCCAGAUGGGAUUAGCUAGUAGGUGGGGUAAGGGCUAACAUAGGCGACGAUCCCUAGCUGGUCGGAGAGGAUGACGAGCCACACGGGAACUGAGACAGGGUACAGACUCCGACGGGAGGCAGAAGGGGGGAAUAUUGCACAAUGGGGGAAAGCCGGAUGCAGACAGGCCGCGUGGGUGAAGAAGGCCUUCGGGUUGUAAAGCACUUUCAGCGAGGAGGCGUUACUCGCAGAAGAAGCACCGGCUAACUCCGUGCCAGCCGCCGCGGUAAUUC